rnacentral:rRNA from 1 species
UACGUAGGCAGCGAGCGUUGUUCGGAAUUACUGGGCGUAAAGAGUGUGUAGGCGGUGCUCCCAGUCUGUUGUGAAAUCUCCCGGCUUAACUGGGAGGGUGCAGCGGAAACUAGAGUGCUAGAGGGUGGGAGAGGUAAGCGGAAUUCCUGGUGUAGCGGUGAAAUGCGUAGAUAUCAGGAGGAACACCAGUGGCGAAGGCGGUUGCCUGGGGCUUUGCUGACGCUGAUGCGCGAAAGCGUGGGGAGCGAUCCGG